AUUGAACGCUGGCGGCAGGCCUAACACAUGCAAGUCGAACGAGUGGCGGACGGGUGCGUAAUGUCUGGGAAACUGCCCGAUGGAGGGGGAUAACUACUGGAAACUGUAUCUAAUACCGCCUACCAUCGGAUUUGCCCAGAUGGGCUUGUCUAGAAGGUGGGGUAACGGAUCACCUAGGCGACGAUCCCUCGCUGGUCUGAGAGGAUGACCAGCCACACUGGAACUGAGACACGGUCCAGAAUCCUACGGGAGGCAGAAGUGGGGAAUAUUGCACAAUGGGGGAAAGCCUGAUGCAGCCAUGCCGCGUGUAUGAAGAAGGCCUUCGGGUUGUAAAGUACUUUCAGCGAGGAGGCGUUACUCGCAGAAGAAGCACCGGCUAACUCCGUGCCAGCAGCCGCGGUAAUAC
rnacentral:rRNA from 1 species